rnacentral:tRNA from 1 species
GGAUAAGUGGAAAUGGUUUUCCGUUUUGAUUGCAGAUCUUAAAUAUAAGGUUCAAUUCCUUCUUGUCUC